rnacentral:rRNA from 1 species
UGGGGAAUUUUGGACAAUGGGCGAAAGCCUGAUCCAGCAAUGCCGCGUGUGUGAAGAAGGCCUUCGGGUUGUAAAGCACUUUUGUCCGGAAAGAAAUCCUCUGGGUUAAUACCUCGGGGGGAUGACGGUACCGGAAGAAUAAGCACCGGCUAACUACGUGCCAGCAGCCGCGGUAAUACGUAGGGUGCAAGCGUUAAUCGGAAUUACUGGGCGUAAAGCGUGCGCAGGCGGUUUUGUAAGACGGAUGUGAAAUCCCCGGGCUUAACCUGGGAACUGCAUUCGUGACUGCAAGGCUAGAGUAUGGCAGAGGGGGGUAGAAUUCCACGUGUAGCAGUGAAAUGCGUAGAGAUGUGGAGGAAUACCGAUGGCGAAGGCAGCCCCCUGGGCCAAUACUGACGCUCAUGCACGAAAGCGUGGGGAGCAAACAGGAUUAGAUACCCUGGUAGUCCACGCCCUAAACGAUGUCAACUAGUUGUUGGGGAUUCAUUUCCUUAGUAACGUAGCUAACGCGUGAAGUUGACCGCCUGGGGGAGUACGGUCGCAAGAUUAAAA